CGAAGGGGGCUAGCGUUGUUCGGAUUUACUGGGCGUAAAGCGCACGUAGGCGGAUCGUUAAGUCGGGGGUGAAAUCCUGGAGCUCAACUCCAGAACUGCCUUCGAUACUGGCGAUCUUGAGUCCGGAAGAGGUGAGUGGAACUCCUAGUGUAGAGGUGGAAUUCGUAGAUAUUAGGAAGAACACCAGUGGCGAAGGCGGCUCACUGGUCCGGUACUGACGCUGAGGUGCGAAAACGUGGGGAGCAAACAGGAUUAGAUACCCUGGUAGUCCACGCCGUAAACUAUGAGAGCUAGCCGCUGGAGGGUUUACCCUUCAGUGGCGCAGCUAACGCAUUAAGCUCUCCGCCUGGGGAGUACGGUCGCAAGAUUA
rnacentral:rRNA from 1 species